GGAGUGAGCCACUGCACCAGGCCCCCACAGCCUAUCUUUUGAAAGGAGUGUCAAUUUGUGGAUAUUCUUUAAAUCCUCACAGCCUAUGCCAUGGUCACAUUUACUUUCAUUCCUCCCACAUGGAAAACAUACUCACUCCCUCCCAAAACCUCCCCGAGAUCCCAGCCUUCACGGUAGCCACAUGAGGCUCCUUGGGUGUAGUUCCUUGAGUACAGCAGUUCCUCUCCAUCUGAAGACCUGUGAACUAAAGAGAUAUCAACACACAAUGGUGGGAUAGGCACAGCAUAACUGCUACAGACACCCCUGUUCAAAAAGGGGGAAACAGGAGGUACCCAGAAGUCACAGGUCCACAGAGAUUCUGAAAUCCAGCCAGGCAAACUUGGAGGUUCCCUUAUUAGGACUCAGUCCUCCUCCUGCCUGUGCCAGAUGAGGUCAUGCAGGGAGAGCCAGCCCUAGACACACACUCCUCUUCCUGCCCCUGGCCUCUGUCCCACACUGGGAGGGGCACACCCUAGCCUGCACAUCCAAGCUCUCUCCCCAUCACAUACAUACCCUGCUUGACCACCCCAACGGCUUAGGGGUAUGUCACUGGCAGUUCAGUCCAUCUUCUGAAGGAGGGACUCUGAGGGAAAGUCCAUGCAGGCCCCAGAAGCAGGCUCAGGAUGGCUUCAAAUAGGAAUUCUGAGGUCUCCUGUAUGCAGAGUUUGGUCUAGAUAUGGAGAGGGUGGGCAUGGGCUCUGGUGGGCAUGUUCACUGGGCCCUGCAGGCUCCUCACCUCAUAGGAAUGGGCACAACCUGAGAAGGGUUCUGGUGGGGCCUUCCAAAGCAUGAGACCCAGGGGGGCCCUCCAAAGCCUGAGACUCAAGGCAGGGGCCCUCCAAAACAUGAGACCCAGGGGGGGCCCUCCAAAACAUGAGGGCCAGGGGAGGGGCCCCUCUUCCUAGGUUGAAGGGCAAUACUGGGGCUAGGGACUGAGAAUCUUCCUGUGAUUGAAACAUGUUAGGAUGAAAUGAGAGAGAGAGAGAGAGAGGACUGCAAGCUGGGGUUAUGGUUAGAAUGUGAGACACAGGGAGGCAAGAUUUCGCCAUGGCACAUUCAAGGUGGUGAGCAGCUGUAGAAGCGUGGAGUGAAGUGAAGCCCAGUGGAGCUGAGGUGAUCAGGGCUGUAGCUGAGGCUAAGAUGUUGAAGCUAUGCACCCCCCCCACACACACCCAGCAAACAGUGGUGGGGUCGGCACAGGUUAUUGACAGAGGUACUGAUGUCACCAGGGUGUUGCCAGGAUAAGAGAUGAGGAGGACAACGAUGAGUCAGGUACCAAAGUCUUCAGGGGACAUGGAGGUGUGACCAGGAAGCUGGCCAUAAAGGAUGGCAGGAAGUAAAGGAUGGCAGAGCUGAUGGCAUGAACCUCGAAGCAGGUGAUCUUAUAGGAGGUGACGAGCGAAGUAAGUGGCCCCCUCCCAGCCCCAGUCCAGUCGUGGGGUGUGGAAGGGAGUCUUCCCUGGGCUCCAGUAUCCACGGGGAAAGGUGAGGAGAGUGAAAGAGCAUUCAGUGGUGCAGCUGAGAACUUAGGGUAGUUUGUUAACAACAGCACAGGCUUCUAGAGGGGCACAAUGGGAUGGGGUGAGGAGGGCAACAGUAGAAGUUCAAACCAAGGAGAAGGAAGUGCAGACAAGACUGGGAUAAAACUAGGAAGAGCAGAAAUGAACAGAUGAACUCAUAUUUUGGGGAGUUAGGGCCAACGGCCAGAGGUGCGGGGCAUUGCUCGAAACAAUUC
rnacentral:lncRNA from 10 species